UACGGGGGGGGCGAGCGUUGUUCGGAAUCACUGGGCGUAAAGGGCGCGUAGGCGGCCCGCACAAGUCUGCGGUGAAAACCUCCGGCUUAACCGGGGGCCGGCCGUGGAAACUGUCGGGCUGGAGGCUGGGAGAGGGCAGCGGAAUUCCCGGUGUAGCGGUGAAAUGCGUAGAGAUCGGGAGGAACACCGGCGGCGAAGGCGGCUGCCUGGACCAGUCCUGACGCUGAGGCGGCGAAAGCUGAGGGGAGCAAACAGGG
rnacentral:rRNA from 1 species